GACGAACGCUGGCGGCGUGCCUAAUACAUGCAAGUCGAGCGCAGGAAAUCAUCCGAACCCUUCGGGGGGACGUUGAUGGAAUGAGCGGCGGACGGGUGAGUAACACGUAAAGAACCUGCCCUCAGGUCUGGGAUAACCACGAGAAAUCGGGGCGAAUACCGGAUGGGUCAUCGGACCGCAUGGUCCGAGGAUGGAAGGCUCUUCGGCGUCGACUGGGGAUGGCUUUGCGGUGCAUUAGCUAGUUGGUGGGGUAAUGGCCCACCAAGGCGACGAUGCAUAGCCGACCUGAGAGGGUGAUCGGGCACACUGGGACUGAGACACGGCCCAGACUCCUACGGGAGGCAGCAGUAGGGAAUCUUCCACAAUGGACGAAAGUCUGAUGGAGCAACGCCGCGUGAACGAUGAAGGCCUUCGGGUCGUAAAGUUCUGUUGUAAGGGAAGAACAAGUGCCGCAGGCAAUGGCGGCACCUUGACGGUACCUUGCGAGAAAGCCACGGCUAACUACGUGCCAGCAGCCGCCGUA
rnacentral:rRNA from 1 species